ensembl:lncRNA
CUUGUGUGAAAGUCUGUCUCCGGUGGAUGGAAAAUUGGCCCUUCCCCCAGAGGGCGUUGGGAUUUUAGUCCGUGUGUGAUUUGAAGCUGCAGGGAGACGGGUGGCGGGGAAUGGGGUCAGGUGCCUUCAGUGAACAGGGCUGCCGGAUCCCUGCUCCUCCGGGUGGGAACUGCUUGGGAUUUACACACGGCAUUCUGCAUUCAAGUGGAUUCCAAGCAUAGGCCAGAGGAACACGCUCAAGAUCACCCCAGGUCUGGCCACACCAUCUGAGAAGUUGGGGUAACACGGCCUCAAGGAAAGCCAGGUCUGGCCUUAGUGCCUUGUUAUUGAGGUGACAGUGCCCGUGUUCCCCAGGUACGCCAGGCCCGCAGACAUGGAAGGAACAAAGCCAGCACCUAGAGGGCAGGAAACGCAAUGUCCCGGAAUCACUGGCAAAACGAAUAAGAGAAGAAAGAAAGAAGGGGGGAAGAAAGAAAAGGAAGCUGGAAAGGAAGGAGAAAAAGAG